UCAAAAUUAUAAACUUUGAGUUAGGAAUGAAGGAAAUAAUAGACUAGAAGAAAUUCAACAAAAUAAAAUGUUUUGAAUGGUGGGUGGCUUGUAGUAAUUUAAUUGACAUUAUUCUUGGGGAAAGAGCUAGUACCAAGGACCAACAAAUGAGCUGUUACAAUGCACCUAAAUGGAAUGUGAAUAAUGUUGUAUAGUUACGUGUAUAAGAAUAAUGCUGAAUAUAAUAACAUGUCUAAGUGUUGUGACAUGUUACGAUGUUUAGUAUUUAUAUAUACACACAUCCAACAACUCAAAAACAUAAGGCUGGUACAACCAACUCUGAGUUUUUGGCAGGUAACAUGACUAUACAUAUUCCUUUACUUUCUCAUGGAGGAGACUCAUAUUUGCAUUCACUUCUUUGGGAAAGCCUCUUGCUCAAAUGAGUAUUCCAACAAAUGUCUAAUUGACAUACUUUGAGAUACUCAUUUGGGCAAGAAGUUUUACCAGGAAGUUUGUACUUAGGUAUAUAUAUUGAGAGAAAUUUUGAAUUUCCUGUUUCUUGUAGUCGGGGGUGGAUCUAGGAAAGAGCGAGGGAGUCGAACUCUUAGUGCAGGAUUCAUUCGGAGGUGGCGCUCUCAACAAGAUUUUCUCCAUAUCCAAAGCUUGAACACGAGAUCUCUAGUUAAAGGUGAGACACUCCCGCCAAUGCACCACAACUCAUGUUGGUACACUUUAUUUUUCUUAUUUGUGUUUAAGCACUAGUGUGUAAAACCUGUAAAUUUCAGAUAGUAGAUUGUAUAGUCUUUGAAAGGAUUACCGUUUGAGUACUCUGUUAGUUGAGUACUUGAGUUAGUCGCUAGAUUAUAGAGUUGUCAGCUGAGUUCGAUUUUUAAAGUUAGUGAAGUUAUAAAAAAUAAUUUUACCUCAUA